UUUUUUUUUCUUUUUGCAAGAAUUCUGAAAGUUUCAGACAAUGCAAUGAAUUAAGACAUGACAAUAGAUUCAGUAAGUAUAAAAAUACUGCUUACAUAGCAGGUCACGUACUUUUCUAUCGCCAUAACACCAUGAAGAUCACAUUGAACGGAACAAAGGCAUGGCGACAGGAACAACUGAGAGCUCACAUCUUGAUCCACAAGAAGGAGGCAGAGACGCUGAAAAUGGCACUGACAUCUGAAACCUCAAAGCCUGCCCCCAGUGACACACCUCCUCCAGCAAGGCCACACCUCCUAAUCUUCCCAAACAGUUCCACCAACUGGGGACCAAGCAUUCAACUAAGUGAGCCUAUGGCGGGUAUUAUCAAACCACCUUAAAUACCCACCGUGCUAGAGUCACUGAAAGUGAAGUGGAAUCCGAGCAUCUUGGCUGCAGGAUCUGAGUGUUAAUGACUUAGAAGAUGGUGCCUCUCUGGUGCAUGCUACCUCUUCCGUGCAUUAGGAAGAGGAAGGUCAUUGCUAUUUGCAGACCCUCGCUGAGCACCUGAUGAAGCUGAG
rnacentral:lncRNA from 1 species